rnacentral:rRNA from 1 species
UACGGAAGGGGGCUAGCGUUGCUCGGAAUGACUGGGCGUAAAGAGCGUGUAGGCGGCUCGAUCAGUCCGCUGUGAAAGUCCAGGGCUCAACCCUGGAAAGCCGGUGGAUACUGUCGGGCUAGAGUACGGAAGAGGAGAGUGGAAUUCCCGGUGUAGCGGUGAAAUGCGCAGAUAUCAGGAGGAACACCAGUGGCGAAGGCGGCUACCUGGACAAAUACUGACGCUGAGGCGACGAAAGCGUGGGGAGCAAACAGG